AAUUCAGACUUGGUCUUUGUCUGUUUGUAACACUAAAAACGUUUUAUCCAGAGUUUCUUAAACCAACCAGCUUCGUUUGCCUUAUAUGUGAAAAACAUCAAUCCCUCUCAAACUCUUCCUCUCGAACAUUCUCUUGUCUAUUCUUUUUUAUUCCUUGGCUUCAACUGUGGUUUCUCAAUUGCUUGAUCUUGGCUCGCCUUCAGGUACUGCUUUCAUGCCUUUAAGAAAUCUCUAAGGGGUUCUCUCAAAUUUCUAGAUUUAGUUCUUGGAUCAGGUUUAAUAAAACAAACAAAGAUUAUCCCUUUUCUGCUAUUAGUUUCAUCGGGAACGAAGAUAAUUUAGUUGGGCAAUUCUCGGUUUUGGUUACUUUGUUUCACUGAGAAAAAUGGCGACUGGAGUAUUGCCAGCUCCUGUUUCCGGGGUUCGAAACUCGGGUUCGGUAAAAGUAUGAAUCUUGUGAGAAUUUGUGAUUUGACGAGUCUAAGAUCUGCUAGAAGAAGAGUUUCCGUUAUCCGGAAUUCAAACCAAGGCUCCGAUUUAGCCGAGCUUCAACCUGCAUCAGAAGGAAGCCCUCUCUUAUGCAUAAGAGAUUCAUUCAAAAAAUUCAUCUUUUAAGAGUUUUUCUCGAGUAUCAUCAUAUAAAGUUUUAAUAAUGUAAAGGUGGAUCCGCGGAUGCAUCAAAUCUAGUAAUAUAGAAAUGUAAGAAAUUUUUAUAAAUUCUUAACAUAAAAAAUAGCUUAAGCCUAAAAAAUGAUAUUCCAAUAAAAAUGUAAAAGUUUAGAAGAAAGUAAAUGUAAUAAUACUAGGAUCGGACCCGCGGUCCACCGCGGGAGAAUAUUGGUUUACAUA